UAAUACGAAGGGUGCAAGCGUUAAUCGGAAUUACUGGGCGUAAAGCGCGCGUAGGCGGUUUGAUAAGUGAGAUGUGAAAUCCCCGGGCUCAACCUGGGAACUGCAUCUCAUACUGUCAGGCUAGAGUACGGUAGAGGGGGGUAGAAUUCCACGUGUAGCGGUGAAAUGCGUAGAGAUGUGGAGGAAUACCAGUGGCGAAGGCGGCCCCCUGGAUCGAUACUGACGCUGAGGUGCGAAAGCGUGGGGAGCAAACAGG
rnacentral:rRNA from 1 species